rnacentral:lncRNA from 1 species
GUUUCCCCCGGAUUAGAUGGAGAUACACUCGAGCUUCUCUGGUUGGAGUUAAGCGCUGGGGCUGAGUUAGUUCGCUGGAAUGGUCGAGAGUGAUACGCAUGCGAUCAUUUUCUUGCUCCUCAAUGAUCUUCGCUGUAUCCACUAUCUCAUCCAUACCCAUUGGCCUCAACCUCACAACUUGCUCCCUCAAGCUUAUCUUCAUACCAUGUAAGAA